ACUGCUGCUUCGGUCAUGAACGGACAUACGGUUGCCGGCAGGGCGAUGCGGGUCACUCGGUCUCACCACGAUGAGCAGAAGACCCAGCCUGAGAAGCAGGACAGCAUCAGUGAAUCACUUCCAGUUUAAGACUGCUGUUCCUCAAGUUCACCCUGCCUUGACGUUCACCCUGCAAACCAGCUGGCGCUCCAGCCCAACAGUAGACAGCCGGGCGUCCUCGCUCAGAGUGAGAGUCUCCGCCCACUGAUGCCUGUCGUCCUGUUGGAUGCUGUUUAUACUCAGCCUCCGCGCCUACUGGUCUCUCAGGUGCUUCUGGACGACUUGCUUCAUAAGAAUCUGUCUGAUGGUGUAACAUCUCUCGUCAAAAAAGCUCAACAGCUGGGUAAGUCUUCACAUCAGUCACCAUCCAUGUGGAGGCGCUGGUUCUGGAUGAAUUAAAUAGGCUUCUGGACAUCAAACAUCUGAGCUGCCCCACCAGCUGGAGCAUUGUGAAUGUACAGACAACAGGCAGGCAUUACAAAUGGAUCUAUUGCUGCAUUUAACACCUGGAGAUCAACAUGGUACAACAAUGAAGACCUGAAUAUUGUAAAAAUUGUAUAUAUGAAGAAAAAAAU